rnacentral:rRNA from 1 species
UACAGAGGGGGCAAGCGUUGUUCGGAAUUACUGGGCGUAAAGGGCGCGUAGGCGGCCUUCUAAGUCGAACGUGAAAUCCCCGGGCUCAACCCGGGAACUGCGUCCGAUACUGGAAGGCUUGAAUCCGGGAGAGGAACGCGGAAUUCCAGGUGUAGCGGUGAAAUGCGUAGAUAUCUGCAGGAACACCCGUGGCGAAAGCGGCGCGCUGGACCACUACUGACGCUGAGGAGCGAAAGCGUGGGGAGCAAACAGG